UGGGGGUUGGGGGGGAAGCGAUGUUUGCCCGUCAGUCGAGUCCGGAGUGAGGAGCUCGGGCGCCGGAGCGGAGGGAGACUCUUCAGCUUAAGCUUGCCGCUGCCACGGCCACCGCUUGGACUUUUGCUCGGAGGGAGCCGCAGAGGGUCUGACGCCGCCGUCCUCUGGAGGGCAGCGCGAUUGGGGGCCCAGACCUCCAGUCCGGGAGAGAUUUUUCGUCGUCCCCCCUCCCCCCAGCGAGGGAGCCCGAGCGGCCGCCAAACAAAGGUGCAGGUGAAUCUGGUAUUUUCGGGGAGUUCGCGGCCUCAGGAUCAUCAUGAAGGCGCUUGAUGAACCUCCCUAUUUGACAGUGGGCACCGAUGUGAGUGCUAAGUACAGAGGAGCCUUUUGUGAAGCCAAGAUCAAGACAGCAAAAAGACUCGUCAAAGUCAAGGUAACAUUUAGACAUGAUUCUUCAACAGUGGAAGUUCAGGAUGACCACAUAAAGGGCCCACUAAAGGUUGGGGCUAUUGUGGAAGUGAAGAAUCUUGAUGGUGCAUAUCAGGAAGCUGUAAUCAAUAAGUUAACAGAUGCUAGCUGGUACACUGUAGUUUUUGAUGAUGGUGAUGAGAAAACAUUGAGACGAUCCUCACUGUGCCUAAAAGGAGAGAGGCAUUUUGCAGAGAGUGAAACAUUAGACCAGCUCCCACUCACCAACCCUGAACAUUUUGGCACUCCCGUCAUAGGAAAGAAAACAAAUAGAGGAAGAAGAUCUAAUCAUAUACCAGAGGAAGAGUCUUCUUCAUCCUCCAGUGAUGAAGAUGAGGAUGACAGGAAACAGAUUGAUGAGCUUCUGGGAAAAGUUGUAUGUGUAGAUUAUGUUAGUUUGGAUAAAAAGAAAGCACUGUGGUUUCCUGCAUUGGUGGUAUGUCCUGAUUGUAGUGAUGAAAUUGCUGUGAAAAAAGAUAAUAUUCUUGUUCGAUCUUUCAAAGAUGGCAAAUUUACUUCAGUACCAAGAAAGGAUGUCCAUGAAAUUACUAGUGACACUGUACCAAAGCCUGACGCUGUAUUAAAACAAGCCUUUGAUCAGGCACUUGAAUUUCACAAAAGUCGAACUAUUCCUGCUAACUGGAAGACUGAAUUGAAAGAAGAUAGUUCUAGCAGCGAAGCAGAGGAAGAAGAGGAGGAGGAAGAUGAUGAAAAAGAAAAGGAGGAUAACAGCAGCGAAGAGGAGGAAGAAAUAGAACCAUUUCCAGAGGAAAGGGAGAACUUUCUUCAGCAAUUGUACAAAUUUAUGGAAGACAGAGGCACACCUAUUAACAAACGACCUGUGCUUGGAUAUCGAAAUUUGAAUCUAUUUAAGUUGUUCAGACUUGUACACAAACUUGGAGGAUUUGAUAAUAUUGAAAGCGGGGCUGUUUGGAAACAAGUCUACCAAGAUCUUGGAAUCCCUGUCUUAAAUUCAGCUGCAGGAUACAAUGUUAAAUGUGCUUAUAAAAAAUACUUAUAUGGUUUUGAGGAGUACUGUAGGUCGGCCAAUAUUGAAUUUCAGAUGGCACUGCCAGAGAAAGUCGUUAACAAGCCUUGUAAGGAGUGUGAAAAUGUAAAAGAAAUAAAAGUUAAAGAAGAAAAUGAACCAGAAAUCAAAGAAAUAAAGACUGAAGAGGAAGCGAAUAUAAUACCCAAAGAAGAAAAGCCUCUUGAAGAAGGUAUUGAAAGCAAGGAGCCUCAGCCCUCUCAGGGGAGUAAAAAGAAUUUAUUAGAAUCUGUGCCUCCACAAUCUGAACAGGAAAAAGAAGUUAACGUGAAAAAAACAGAAGAAAAUGAAAAUCUGGAAGAUAAAGAUGGUGAGACAACGGGAGCAGAUGAAUCCCUCAGCAUAAAGGUAGAAGCUGAAGAAGAAAAAGCAAAAUCUGGUUUUUUAAACCUUUCAAGAGAUGACACGAAUAAGGAGGACGAGGAAGAUGAUGAAGAAGUAGAGGAGGAGGAGGAGGAGGAGGAGGAAGAGGAUGAAGAGGAUGAAGGCCACAAUGAGGAAGAGGCGCUUGAGUGCUAUCCACCAGGCAUGAGAGUCCAAGUGCGGUACGGACGAGGGAAAAAUCAGAAAGUGUAUGAAGCUAGUAUUAAGGAUUCUGAUGUCGAAGGUGGAGAGGUCCUUUACUUGGUGCAUUACUGCGGAUGGAAUGUGAGGUAUGAUGAAUGGAUUAAAGCAGAUAAAAUAGUAAGACCUGCUGAUAAAAAUGUGCCCAAGAUAAAACAUCGCAAGAAAAUAAAGAAUAAAUUAGACAAAGAAAAAGACAAAGAUGAAAAAUAUUCUCCUAAAAACUGUAAACUCCGGCGCUUGUCAAAACCGCCAUUUCAGACAAAUCCAUCGCCUGAAAUGGUAUCCAAAUUGGAUCUUACUGAUGCCAAGAACUCUGAUACAGCUCAUAUUAAAUCCAUAGAAAUCACUUCUAUCCUUAAUGGACUUCAAGGUAAACACAACGAGCAUCCUGUUGCAUCUUCUGAAAGUUCUGCUGAAGACAGUGAGCAAGAGGAUGAAACAAGUAUUCAAGACUUAGAUAAUCAUGGCAAGGAAGAAUCUAAGAUUGAUCAUUUGACCCACAACAGAAAUGAUCUUACGUCCAAAGAGGAACAGAACAGUUCAUCUUUGCUUGAAGAAAACAAAGUCCACGCAGAUUUGGUAGUAGCCAAACCCUUGUCGAAAUCUCCAGAAAGCUUAAGAAAAGAUAUGGAAGCAUUAUCUGAAGAUACUGAUUAUGAAGAAGAAGAUGAAGUCACAAAAAAGAGAAAGGAUGUCAAAAAGGACACUGCUGAUAAAUCUUCAAAGCCACCAGUGAAACGUGGUAAAAGAAGGUACUGCAAUACUGAGGAGUGUUUAAAAAGCGGCUCCCCAAGUAAAAAGGAGGAUAAAGCCAAGAACAAAGAAGCCCUUUGCAUAGAAAAUAGUAGCAAUAGCUCUUCCGAUGAGGACGAAGAAGAAAAGUCCAAAGCCAAGGUGACACCCACUAAGAAGUACAAUGGUUUGGAGGAGAAAAGAAAGUCUCUACGGACAACUGGUUUCUAUUCAGGAUUUUCAGAAGUGGCCGAAAAAAGGAUAAAACUUUUAAAUAACUCUGAUGAAAGACUUCAGAACAGCAGAGCAAAAGAUCGAAAAGAUGUCUGGUCAAGUAUUCAGGGUCAGUGGCCUAAAAAAACGCUGAAGGAGCUUUUCUCAGACUCUGACACUGAGGCCGCCGCCUCCCCACCCCAUCCUGCCCCAGAAGAGGGGCCGGCUGAGGGGUCCCUGCAGACUGUGGCCGAGGAGGAGAGCUGCUCCAACACCGAUCUGGCCGCCCCGCCCUCAGCCGGUGCAGAGGGCAAGCCCACUGAGGAGAAGCCAGCGGAGGUCAGUGACAAAAAGUCGGAAUUUCCGAGCAGCGGCAGCAAUUCAGUGCUCAACACCCCUCCCACGACACCCGAGUCCCCUUCCUCAGUCACCGUGACGGAAGCCAGUCGGCAGCCUCCUUCUGUAACAGUGUCAGAGCCGCUGGCCCCAAACCACGAAGAGGUCCGCAGCAUCAAGAGCGAGACCGACAGCACGAUCGAAGUGGACAGUGUCACGGGGGAGCUCCAGGACCUGCAGUCGGAAGGCAACAGCUCGCCCGCGGGCUUUGAUGCCAGUGUGAGCUCGAGCAGCAGCACUCAGCCUGAGGCGGAGCAUCCUGAGAAAGCCUGUACAGGUCAGAAAAGAGUGAAAGAAGCUCAGGGAGGAGGAAAUUCAUCAAAAAAGCAGAAACGAAGCCAUAAAUCUACAGUGGUAAACAACAAAAAGAAGGGAAAAGGCAGAGAUUCCUGCCACCUCCACUGCCUGACCUUUGCUAUCGGCCGGCUUGGCUGCACUUCAGUGCAGAAAAGGGUUUUGCGGCCAGCUCCCCGCGGUUCUCCUGAGCCCAUAUGACUUCCAGGCGGUGAAUAUGGCAUCCUUCGGGGCCCCGGGCGGCUGUGUUCAGCGAGGCCAUGAAAGCCGAGCUGAGGCAGACCACUGCAUCCGAGUGGGGCCAAGCCUUGGGUGGCUGAGCUAGGAGUUGCCUGGGGUUCCAGAGCAGCAGUGGGGGGACUGGGAAGGGAUUCUUUUAAGACAUGUACGGAAGAGUGGUGGAGUCUCUUUACUCCGAACACCACAGUGGGGAGGAGUUGCUGUGUCUUUCCUGUCUGGAAUACUUUUCAGUUUUUAGAGUUUAACUAUUAUUUUUUGGAGGGUAGCUAUUGUUAAUGAAGAAUUGAUAAAAGAAAAUGGAUAAAUUUGAAUGCCAGAUUGAUGCCACAUUUGAAGUAACUGAAAGGAUAUUCAAGACUGUUUUUUAACUACACUGUAAUGUUUUUAUCUUUAAGACUUUUAAAUGACAUUCUCCAAGAGGGCUCAUUUUCAACAAGUCAGUUGACAUAUUCAUAUAAUUUUGAGCUAUAGCAGUUGAUCAUAUAAUUCUUCCAUUUUAAUUAUUGGACUUAUAUCUUGGUAAAUCAGAAUGAGGAAACAGUUCUCUGAGAAUAAUUUAGUCAAAUGAAUUAACUCUCAUAGAAUCUACAGUAAUGCUUUGUAUCCAGAAAGAGGUAAUUUAUGGAAAUAGCAGUUCCAUCACCUAGUCACAUGUCAAGAUGUUAAAGAUUUCCAUUCUGGUACUGAGGCUUUGGGCUUCCCAGGUGACACAGUGAUAAAGAACCCAUCUACCAAUGCAGGAGAUAACAGAGACACAGGUUCGAUCCCUGGGUCAGGAAGAUGCUGUGAAGUAGGAAAUGGCCACCCACGCCAGUAUUGUUGCCUCGGAAAUUCCAUGUACAGGGGAGCCUGGUAGGCUACAGUCCAUAAAGUCACAGAGAGUCGGAUACGACUGAGCGCGCGUGCGCGCACGCACAUACACUCACUCUCACACUCUCACACACACACUCACAUGCACACACACACACUCGCACACACUUUGUUGAGGUUUUAAUCAACAAAGGCAGAUGUAACAUUAUUGCAUAGACUUCUGAAUUCUUCAUAAAUUACUGAAUAUAUUUAUCAGGGUAAAACCUAUGAUUUAUUUUAGUCAACAGGUUAUGAUACAGGAGUUUCUCAAGAAAUCAUUGUAUAUAUUAAAAUUUAGAAUUUAUUUUCAAAGAAUUCUUUAUUGAAUAUAAUGAUUGUGCAUCAUUGAUUUGGCCAGAGAAGUAGGAAAGUGUUGCAUGUACACAAUUUAAAAUAUGAAAUUAAGUUUUCAUAUGAUUCAUUUUAAAAAUGCUGUAUUCUACUCUCUAUCUCUCUAUAUAUUUUAAUAUAGUAGAGUUAAAAGCUAUUUAAAUAGUUGUCACAUUUUUGGCAAUCUACCAGAUAUAAUGAAAGAUUAAGUAUUUUUUAAAAAUACAUUAUUGGCGAUUCAGGUAAGAAGAGUUUUUGUUUUCCUUAACUGAUGUGCUGCUGUGUUUAUACUUGAUGAUUUUCCAAGUUUUUAGGCAGGGUCUGUAAAGCAAGUUGUUUACUGUAGUAGUGAACUGAAAUGGUUAAAUUUUAAAUUGUCCACUUCAAUCUGUAACAGAUUAUGAUUACUUUCUGUUUACUAAUGCUUACAAAAAAAUUUUUUUUUUUUCAGCAAAUAGUAGUGAUAGUGAAGAACUUUCUGCUGGUGAAAGUGUAACUAAGGCUCAGCCCAUCAAAUCAGUUUCCACUGGGAUGAAGGCUCAUGGUACCAAAUCUCCUGCUAGGACGCAGUCUCCAGGAAAAUGCGGGAAGAAUGGCGAUAAAGAUCCUGACCUCAAGGAACCCAGUAAUCGAUUACCCAAAGUUUACAAAUGGAGUUUUCAGAUGUCGGACCUGGAAAAUAUGACAAGUGCUGAACGAAUCACAAUUCUUCAAGAAAAACUACAGGAAAUCAGAAAACAUUAUCUAUCAUUAAAAUCUGAAGUAGCUUCCAUAGAUCGGAGGAGAAAGCGUUUAAAGAAGAAAGAAAGAGAAAGUGCUGCUACAUCCUCGUCGUCGUCGUCCCCUUCAUCCAGCUCCAUAACGGCUGCCGUCAUGUUAACGCUGGCUGAGCCGUCAAUGUCCAGCGCAUCCCAGAACGGAAUGUCAGUUGAGUGCAGGUGACAGCAGGACUUGCUGGGGCACUUCGCACUUACGGCUGUUGAGGGCCACGUCUUUUUAUACUGCACAGUGGCACAAAAAUCAGACAAGCACUAUUUUAUAUUUAAAAAUCGCUUCUUGACAAGCUGACUUGGCACUUAAGUGCACUUUUUUUAUGAAGAAAAAGUACAAUGGACUGCUUUUCCUCAAGCAAUAAUUGUUUCCAACUUGUCCGGGAAUUGUGUGUCUGGUAACUUGAAGGCCUUCCACUGUGGCAGAUGGAGGCUUUUCACUGCCUGUAGAGACAAUACAGUAAGCGCAGUCAUUGGGUGGCCAGAACAUGUUAAGAAAACUUACUGUAUAUGUAUUCCCUUGUAUUUUGUUAAAGCUGGAACAUUUGAUAUUUUUCCAUUUAUUUAUGAAAAAAUAUGAACCUAUUUUCAUUUGUACAAGCUAAUUGUUUUUUAAAGCAAGUCACCUUAGGGUGGCUUUAAUUGUAUAAGUCAAGCACAUGUAAUAAAUUCAAAACCUGCAGUUAACAGGAUGUUAGACAUCAAUCCUGAUAACCAAAUAUUAAAGAUUCUCUUUAAAAAAGACUGAACAUGUUUACAGGUUUGAAUUAGGCUAAAAGGUCUUGCAGUGGCUUUUCAUGCCCCUUCAAAUUGGAAUGGAACUACUGUACUUUGCCAUUUUUCUAUAAAUCAGUAUUUUUUUUUAAUUUUGAUAUAAUACAUUGUGUGAAAAAAGAAAAUGGCUAAUAAACUGUAUUAAAUCUUAAACAAUGUAUAAAGAUUGUACUUAGCCAGUUCAAAGUGUAUAUUUAUUCAUAAUGAAUUAUAACAGUUAUAUUUUUGUGUUUUCUUGUAAAUGUUUCUUUUUCCUUAAAUACAGAUAAUUCAUUUGUAUUGCUUAUUUUAUUAUGAGCUACAACAAGAGAACUUCAGGAACAAGUAAACUUUAUUAGUAUGGUUCAAGGCUGUUGCUACGAACUGUCUCAAAAGGAUGGUUGUUAUUUUAAGUAUAAAUAGCUAAUUGGGGUGGUAGGCCUAUAAAAAUUAAAUGCCUUGUAUAAAAUCCAAAAUGAACGCAAAAUUGUUUUCACUUGUAUUGACUUUAUGUUGUAUGAUUCCAAUCUCUGUUCUGUUUGGCACUUGUAUUUAAUUCUACACCUUUGUAAGACAUUUGUAUAUUGCGGAUGUGUUCAUUCAAGCUAUUUAAUACCUGGCACUGUUCAUACACAGUACUUUACUGUACAGACUGUUUUACUGUUUUAAUUGUAGUUCUGUGUACUUCUUUUGGAUGGAGCUGGCAUGUUUUGUUUGUUUUCUGGCAAUACGACAUGUGAGAAUUUCGAAGCGUUGUAGAUGCUAACGUGUCAGAAUCCUUUACAUUCAACUUUUCUAAGAAAAGCAUUUUCAGUCUUGUAGUGUGUGCUUACAGUAACUAAUUUUGUUGAAAAUGGUUUCAAGUUAUUCAAAUUUGUACAGGACUGUAAAGAUUUGUUGACAGCAAAACCUUGAAGAAAAGCUUAUAGAAUAAAAGCUAUAAAGUAUAUAUUAGGAUCUGCAAACAAUGAAGAAUUAUGUAAUAUAUUGUACAAAUGUAAGCAAAGGCUCUGAAAUAAAAUGCCAUAGUUUGUGAAUCCUUGA